UGGGUAGUCCGCACGAGCGCACCUCGACUAUCAGUUGCCAGCAUUUAGUUGGGUACUCUGAUGGAACUGCCGGUGACAAGCCGGAGGAAGGUGGGGAUGACGUCAAGUCCUCAUGGCCCUUACGGGCUGGGCUACACACGUGCUACAAUGGCGGUGACAGUGGGUUGCGAACCUGUGAAGGUGAGCUAAUCUCUAAAAUCCGUCUCAGUUCGGAUUGUACUCUGCAACUCGAGUGCAUGAAGUUGGAAUCGCUAGUAAUCGCGGAUCAGCGUGCCGCGGUGAAUACGUUCUCGGGCCUUGUACACACCGCCCGUCACACCAUGGGAGUUGGAUUUACCUUAAGCCGGUGCGCUAACUUUUGAGGUAGCCGACCACGGUAAGUUCAGCGACUGGGGUGAAGUCGUAACAAGGUAGCCGUAGGGGAACCUGCGGCUGGAUCACCUCCUUUC
rnacentral:rRNA from 1 species